AGCAGUGGGAGCACGCUUCGGCGUGUGACUGCGUACCUUUUGUAUAAUGGGUCAGCGACUUAUAUUCUGUAGCAAGGUUAACCGAAUAGGGGAGCCGAAGGGAAACCGAGUCUUAACUGGGCGUUAAGUUGCAGGGUAUAGACCCGAAACCCGGUGAUCUAGCCAUGGGCAGGUUGAAGGUUGGGUAACACUAACUGGAGGACCGAACCGACUAAUGUUGAAAAAUUAGCGGAUGACUUGUGGCUGGGGGUGAAAGGCCAAUCAAACCGGGAGAUAGCUGGUUCUCCCCGAAAGCUAUUUAGGUAGCGCCUCGUGAAUUCAUCUCCGGGGGUAGAGCACUGUUUCGGCAAGGGGGUCAUCCCGACUUACCAACCCGAUGCAAACUGCGAAUACCGGAGAAUGUUAUCACGGGAGACACACGGCGGGUGCUAACGUCCGUCGUGAAGAGGGAAACAACCCAGACCGCCAGCUAAGGUCCCAAAGUCAUGGUUAAGUGGGAAACGAUGUGGGAAGGCCCAGACAGCCAGGAUGUUGGCUUAGAAGCAGCCAUCAUUUAAAGAAAGCGUAAUAGCUCACUGGUCGAGUCGGCCUGCGCGGAAGAUGUAACGGGGCUAAACCAUG
rnacentral:rRNA from 1 species